rnacentral:lncRNA from 1 species
UCUUUUCUCUAAACCGAGAGUUUUUAUAUCGAAAGUUUGUACUUUCUAUGUUUCUUCCGGAUACCAAGAGGUCCAUUACACAUCGUAUGGCUUUAAUUGCGAGCAUAGAAUCUAAACUUGGUAUGAAACAUUCUCAACUUCAUUUCGUAAAGAAAAAUCUUUGAUUGGUUAUAUGUUUAUGUUGUUUAUCAUUCACAUAUUUAUGUUUUACAGUUUUUUAAUUAAUAUAAGGUUCUAGAUCUAAAGGCUCGCAAAUUGUUUUAGGAAGAAGCAUAACCAUUUCAACAUCUAUUAUGAAAACUUCUCCAUCAAAUAUUAUCAACAAGGAAGUUGAAAAAACUUUAAUUGUUGAUUUCUUAACCACAUUGUCUCAAGUUAGUGGAUUUAAGAAUCUUUCUCGCUUCACUGUGCUAGAUGAUGAGGAUCAAGCCACCAAUGAACCAAUAAAUUUGCUCAGUUUGACAAGGAGUGAAAAAGAGACAAAAUCUCAUAUCAAAUACCAUGAUUUGAAAGGGAAAACAAUGCAAAAGAAUGUAAGCAUGAUUGGCGCGGUCGUGGUACUACUCGCUAGUUGCUCUUUCUCAUUUUAUUUUGGUUCAUCUCUCUUGUGCUUUAGAAGUUUCAAGGUAUAAUGUAAUUAUAUAUGAAAUGUAUUCAUGUAAGCUUUUUCUCUAUAAAGUUAUUAAACCUUAUCUUAUAAUCAUUUAUAUUUUUAGUUUGAAAGCCCUUAGUAAAAAAAAGAGGAAGAUGUGUAACCAUGUUAAAUUACAUCUCCUAAAGAGAGCAUAUCAUUUCUAACGAGAAUCAAACAUAUGACCAUUUGUACACUGUCAACUUUUCGUUGGAUACAAUUUCACUG